UGGGGAAUUUUGGACAAUGGGGCAACGCUGAUCCAGCAAUGCCGCGUGUGUGAAGAAGGCCUUCGGGUUGUAAAGCACUUUUGUCCGGAAAGAAAUCCUUGGCUCUAAUACAGUCGGGGGAUGACGGUACCGGAAGAAUAAGCACCGGCUAACUACGUGCCAGCAGCCGCGGUAAUACGUAGGGUGCAAGCGUUAAUCGGAAUUACUGGGCGUAAAGCGUGCGCAGGCGGUUUGCUAAGACCGAUGUGAAAUCCCCGGGCUCAACCUGGGAACUGCAUUGGUGACUGGCAGGCUAGAGUAUGGCAGAGGGGGGUAGAAUUCCACGUGUAGCAGUGAAAUGCGUAGAGAUGUGGAGGAAUACCGAUGGCGAAGGCAGCCCCCUGGGGCCAAUACUGACGCUCAUGCACGAAAGCGUGGGGGAGCAAAACAGGAUUAGAUACCCCUGGGUAGUUCCACGCCCUAAACGAUGUCAACUGUUGUUGGGGGAUUCAUUCCUUAGUAACGUAGCUAACGCGUGAAGUUGACCGCCUGGGGGAG
rnacentral:rRNA from 1 species